AAUGCAGGAAACUUCCAGGGAUUUUCAGGGUUUCACAUAAUACCCUUUUUACCCUGGCUUUUUAAUUAAUUUAUUUUUAUGUGUUUUAAAAAAUAAAAAACCCUGAAAAUCCCUGGAAGUUUCCUGCAUUUAAA
rnacentral:miRNA from 1 species